rnacentral:rRNA from 1 species
GAUGAACGCUGGCGGCGUGCCUAAUACAUGCAAGUCGAGCGAACAGAUGAGGAGCUUGCUCCUCUGACGUUAGCGGCGGACGGGUGAGUAACACGUGGAUAACCUACCUAUAAGACUGGGAUAACUUCGGGAAACCGGAGCUAAUACCGGAUAAUAUAUUGAACCGCAUGGUUCAAUAGUGAAAGACGCUUUUGCUGUCACUUAUAGAUGGAUCCGCGCCGCAUUAGCUAGUUGGUAAGGUAACGGCUUACCAAGGCAACGAUGCGUAGCCGACCUGAGAGGGUGAUCGGCCACACUGGAACUGAGACACGGUCCAGACUCCUACGGGAGGCAGCAGUAGGGAAUCUUCCGCAAUGGGCGAAAGCCUGACGGAGCAACGCCGCGUGAGUGAUGAAGGUCUUCGGAUCGUAAAACUCCGUUAUUAGGGAAGAACAAAUGUGUAAGUAACUAUGCACGUCUUGACGGUACCUAAUCAGAAAGCCACGGCUAACUACGUG